rnacentral:misc_RNA from 1 species
AUUACAUUCAGUCCACCAGCCCACCUAAGUCAACUCAUCUAGCUCGCUCAUCCCAUCCCUUAGUCACAACAAAUAGUCACAAUACUUCCAUAGGAACAGUGACACAAAGUUCAUUUUUACUUUUUAGUAUGUAUAAUAAUUUGUUUUAUUGGUGGAGUCAUUAUUUUUGCUUUAUCUGAUCCAUCUACUAGUUGAUUAGAUGGACAUGAUUUGCAAUUUUUUUUUUUUUUUGGGGUACAAUUGGCUCCAACUGGGACUCAAACUCAAGACCUCAUGGCCCAAGAGACGACUUUAGUACUAUCGAGCUAAAGCUCAUUAGCAGACUUGAUUUACUUUUAAAAUAAGAUCUUAUUGUUUAACUAAGUUCCAUUGUUUUGACACGUGAUAAAUCAUUCUUUAGAUUAAAUUGUUCAUUUAUGAAUUAGCAUGCAUAUACAAGAUGGUCAAGGAAAGAUAUGGAGUAAUAAUGUGUUAAUAUUUUAUGUGAAUGUUCUGAAUCCUAAUUUACUUCUGCUGUUUUCUAUACUAACAACAAUUUGAGUCACAAUUUCUUUGUUCUCUUCUUUGCUCUCAUGUCUAUGAUGCAACAAUUUGAAUGAACUAGGAGGUCAGCAUUCAGCAUUGCAUAAUAUAGUUCAUGAAGCGUAAAGUUGCUGCUUGGAUAUUGGGGUUCACUAUGUUUUCUAUUUUGUAUAGAAAUCAAUUCACUUCCUACUCAACAUAUCAUGAUCUAUUUCCAGCCUUGAAAUUCAUCAAUAUAUUCCUGUUAUUUUGCUGAGUGGGUUUAGUGUUUUUUUUACCAAAGCCAUACUUUUGGGUUUAAAAAUGGACUGCAGUUACUGAUUGGUAAUAUGUAAUAUUGUCUUGCGGGAGCUAGUUGAAUCAGUGAAGCAGGAUUUUGGCAGCAUUGACAUCCUUGUGCACUCACUAAUGGGCCAGAGGUUCAGUGCACUUGCUAAUGGAGACAUCAAGGAACGGAUAUCUUGCGGUCAUCUCUGCAUGAAGUUUUACUCAUUUGUUUCCUUACUGAAGCAUUUUGUUCCAAUAAUGAAUCCAGGUGGUUCUUCAAUUUCUCUUACAUACAUUGCUUCUGAGAGGAUCAUUCCAGGAUAUGGAGGAGGUAUGAGUUCCGCCAAAGCUGCACUUGAGAGUGACACAAGAGUGCUUGCUUUUGAAGCAGGAAGGAAACACAAAAUUAGAGUCAACACAAUAUCUGCUGGUCCACUAAGAAGCCGAGCUGCAAAAGCAAUUGGAUUUAUUGAUACAAUGAUUGAGUACUCAUUAGCCAAUGCUCCACUGCAAAAGGAACUAUCUGCAGAUGAGGUGGGGAACACUGCUGCCUUCUUAGCAUCGCCUCUGGCUUCUGCCAUCACUGGCGCUCUUAUAUAUGUUGACAAUGGCCUCAAUGCAAUGGGCAUUGGCCUUGACAGUCCACUAUUGAAAGACCUCGAUAUCCCAAAAGACAGGCACCAGAGAUAACUGCAGGUGGGUUCAUAGUGAGUAAAGUUGAGCUUUAGUUAGUGCUGCCAUUUUCCCUUCCUUGAUCCUUUAUCCCUUCAUUGGCAUUUCUCUAACAGGGCAUGGCCAGCGGCACCUAUUUUUUUCAUGAGAUUUUGUCUUAAUUAGGGACCAUUGAACAUGCUGAUUAAUCUGAAUCAAAAUUUAUCUUAAGUGGACAACAUACCUUUAUGGUAAUGAUUAUAACCUUAAUUUGUCCUCACCUUCAGGUUUGGACUUUGUUAUGUUGCUGACCAGUAUGGAGCAACAUAAUGAUGAUCCUUGUGCAUAUGAAUUGCAUAAGCAUUAAAAAUUAGGCAACUUUGCGUGCAGGCAAUGCCUGUGUGUGUGUACAAAUGAUAAGUUUGCCAUUAGUCAUAUAUUUUUCAAAUGAAAAUGAAUUUUUUUUGUUGUUCGAAUGAAAAUUUCCAGUGUGCUAUUUGACCUAAUAUGGUAAAUUAUUGGUUUUUGCCAGCACUCAAGUAAAAAUGCAUGAGUUUGUUGCUUGUAAAGUAUAAUUCUUCUAACAAUAUAAAAUUCCAUUGUACUAAUGGAUGGAAAAACUCAAAAUUAAAAUUCUAUAAAACAAUUUUAAAAUAACACUCGUGCAAUGGUGGUGAAAUAGAUUAUUGUAUUCUUGGUCUUGUACGUGAUGUUCUAUUAGGCUUCAUACUAUAUUUUACAUGAUAUAGAAAGCUGUGGAUUGAUUUCUUGUGCUAGUUAGAAGUCUAAUGACUCUGUUUACAUAUAAAAUUCCCAUUUGGAUAUUUCCUUCAAAUUUUUAAUAAAAUUUACAAGUCAAAAGAUUAGGAAGCACAUUUUAUAAAAUUUGAAGAUUGUAAAAUUGGACAAAUCGCGAAAAUUGAUCAUAGGAAACAUUUUAUUGGAAGCAUGAAAGGUCUUUAGGAGUUUGUAUUAAAUAGUAAUUUGAAUGCUCCAAUUAGAGUCUCUUCAGCUUGCUGGAAUGAUAGAGACACAUUUGUUGGUCUACAUUUUGUAAUAUACUAAACCACCUAUGAAUCUUUUGACCCGCUCCAAGAAUUCUCGUCACACAAAAAAGAUCCAAGGAAUUAAGUAGGAACCCAUCUCUAAUUUAUCAAUUUGGUGUCUUUAGAUGGUAUUUUCAAUUGGGCAACUAGGAUUUAGUCGACAAAAGAAAAAGAUUAACAAAUGAUGACAAUGGAAACUGGUGGUGGUGGUUGAUUGAAUAGUGGAAACACUAAUAUUUUUAAAUGCACCCUCUUUAAUCUUUGUCAUUAUCUUUUGAUUUGAGGUAAGCACAAAGCACACACAUCAAAUUGUCGUUUUUGAGGUGCAAAAUGGUUGGCACACGUGUUGCAAGGUUGAAUAAUUUUUGUCGUUUAGACGCCUGUUAGUUCUUGUUCCUUCCUCGUGGUGGUGACAUCCAUGGAAUUUCAAAGAUAAUAUGCUUUCUUCCUUUUUCUUAUUCUUUUUUAAGCCUUUGUUUUAGAGAUGGUCCAGAUGACUGACUUUCAAAGCCGUCUAUGAACAAACAAAACUCUACUUAUUUGUACAGUUUGAUGGGAUAUGCACUCUUUCACUCUCAUACAAUACUUGUUUGAUCAAAGUCCAAAUUAUUUGCCGAGUUUUUGUUUAACUACGGAACGUUGACAGUUAUUUCUCAAUGUAAUU